GCCGGCGAACAUCGUCCACCACCCCCGGUAACGCCGCAUAUCCGCCAACGGCAAACGUCCGCUGGGGCAGCCACAGAUCCUGGCUCAGGAUCCCACAUUUCAUGCAGUCGUGGCUCCAGCCUGUGAGUUUCUCAGCUUUGCUCCUUCUUCAUGGCCUUGAUCCCUGAAGGAAAGUCGGAGGCAGGAGGCUGGACGUCCAGUUGCAGCCCGCCCCUGGUUUUGCUCCCUGGGGCCGCCGUGUUGCCACUCCCGGCCUGAGUUUUCUCGUUGGCGAGGAAGGGCUCAUGCCAGCAGCUCCCUGCUUUCCCUGGCAGCAUGGAGAUCCUGUGGCCAGCCAGAAUCUGAGACCCAGCGCUAAGUGGCCGCAACAGGGCUGCUCCCGCGGAGCUUGCAACCCGGUGUGAGGGCCAGACGGCCGCCGAAUAGUCACCUGGGUGGAAAGCAGCAGCUGGGAGAGGUACCAUGUGGCCCUGAGAGCCCAGCUUGGAGCUUGAUGGAGUCUGGGGCUCAGGGAGGGCUUCCUGGCGGCAGGGUGCCCGAGCGCGCCCGCGUGCCCCCGAGGGAUGGUGAGGGGUGAGGGGUGUGGGCUGGGCAGACGGUGCAUCCCAGCUCCUGGAGGAAGACCAGAGGACUGAACCCGAGGGAGGGGACAGCGCGGGAGGGAAAGAGGCUGGCGGUGGGCAGUGGCCAUCCGUGGCCAGGCGAGCAUCGGGAAAGGUGAGCGGGGAAGCCGGGAAGCGCUGUGUUUAGGCCGGGGGAAAAGGAGGCCUUUGGGAGGUGAGCAGCCCCUGGCUUGUGUCCGGAGCAUUCUACCCCCAUCCCCCCCAGCUGCUGCCGGAGGGGAGUCCCCUGCUCCCUAUUCAUUACCUGGCAUAACUAAUUGCCUGGUGACAUUUCCCAUAUUAUAGACAAAUGUGAAUUAUGGGCCCAGCUGGUCCCCUUCUCGUCACCAGGAAUCGGUUGAUAAAUAUGUUUAUUCGAGGUCAGCCUGGCCUCAUCCAUUAGAAAUAUUGUUUUUCUAAACAUUACAUUGAUUUAAUUUAACUCUAAUCAAUUUAAAAUGGUUCUGACAAUUAACAAAAGCUUCAAAUAUGACCUUAAAGUAAUAGGAUUCAUUAGCUAUGUUUAGGAUUAAACUUACCCUAAUAGGGCGAUUUUUCUUCCGAGGGUAUUUGGUAAGCGACUAGUGGUCAGUCAAAAUGAAAUCAAUUAUUAUAAAUUAUACAGUUAAAGUUGAUUAUGUAUCCCCUGCUAAUUUGUAUAAAUAAGGGUCUCUGACAAUGGGAGUAAUUUAUUAAUAACUAUCUCUGCCCCAGCCCGGUAUCACACUUCAUGUUCCAGCUGCCAGGGCAUCUGUAGCCCGCGAGGUAUUAUUUUCCAGGGCUGCCCUCCAUGUAUGCUAAUUAAACCCAUAAUUAAUUGCAACAGUUAUAGUUAAAGACACAAUGCUGGCGCCCUUUGCCCUAUUAUUCAUGACAGUCGACUCAUUCAAAAGGCAAUCUGAUCAAAAAUUCAUAUGCUAGCUCGGGCGCCCGAGAGCAAGGCGAUCCCCACGACAGCGCCCUACGAAGGCGCCUGCGCAGCCGGGAGGGGCGGCCCAGCCUGCGUCCGCGCGCCUUUCUGGGUUUCCCACGCCGCCACCACGUGCCAAAGCCCCGGCGGAAGGACGUAGAGCCUAGCCUGGCUGGACAGGAUGUCUGGGCCAGAACGCAUGCAUUGCUGGCCCACACAGUGCUUUCAAACGAUGAAAAAGGUCGCUAAAGUUUUACAAACCAGGGACUCUCACUUCUCCUGGAAAUUUCUAACUUUGUUUCAAAAAUCAGAAUAUCUCGACGUGCUUCUCCCCCUGCCUUACCCACACCCACCCUCCUCCUUCCCUGGUGCACCGGCCUGGUCCCUUUAGGCACACGUGAGAGUCCUGGUCUAGACACUUCAUGUCACAGGGAGGGACUGAGGCCCGCAGAAAGACGGGCUUGCCGAGGGGCACAGAGUGGCGCGGCUUGCGUGCGGCUGGCUUCACAGAGCACCCAGGUCAAACUGGGGGCACAAGGGGGGCGGGUCUGCCCAUGAA